AACGAACGCUGGCGGCGUGGAUAAGACAUGCAAGUCGAACGAGAACUACAUGAAGCUUGCUUUGAGUAGUUCUAGUGGCGGACGGGUGCGUAACACGUGAGCCACCUUCCCUGAAGUGGGGGAUAGCCCGGGGAAACCCGGAUUAAAUACCGCAUAUGGUCUUCGGAUCAAAGACGGCUUCGGCUGUCGCUUCAGGAUGGGCUCGCGGCCUAUCAGCUUGAUGGUGAGGUAACGGCUCACCAUGGCGACGACGGGUAGCUGGUCUGAGAGGACGAUCAGCCACACUGGAACUGAGACACGGUCCAGACACCUACG
rnacentral:rRNA from 1 species